rnacentral:rRNA from 1 species
GACGAACGCUGGCGGCGCGCUUAAUACAUGCAAGUCAACGAUUUUUAAGAUAGCAAUAUUUUAAAAAUAGUGGCGCACGGGUGAGUAACACGUAGAUAAUCUGCCUUUAGGUCUGACAUAACUCGUCGAAAGACGGGCUAAUAUCAGAUAAAACAAUAACUUGGCAUCAAGUAAUUGUCAAAGCUUCGGCGCCCAAAGAUGAGUCUGCGGACCAUUAGGUAGUUGGUGGAUUAACAGCCCACCAAGCCAACGAUGGAUAGCUGGUCUGAGAGGAUGAUCAGCCACACUGGAACUGAGACACGGUCCAGACUCCUACGGGAGGCAGCAGUAAGGAAUAUUGCUCAAUGGGAGAAAUCCUGAAGCAGCAACGCCGCGUGAAGGAAGAAGGGUACUUCGACUUGUAAACUUCUGUAGAAG